rnacentral:rRNA from 1 species
AAAUAAAUUUUGAUUCUGCUAGUAGCGGCGAGCGAACGUGGAUGAGGCUAAACCGUGUGUGUGUGAUUACCUGGCAGGGGUUGCGCAUGCGGUGUUGUGGGGUUCAACGUAUAUCAGCUGUCACUGGUGUGUGUGUUGUUGUGUGUUAGGUGAACUGGCUUGGAAUGGUCGACCGGAGAAGGUGAGAGUCCUGUAGUUGAAGGCAUAUGAUGGUGCAUUGUUGUGUCCCCGA